UGGGGAAUAUUGCACAAUGGGGGGAACCCUGAUGCAGCGACGCCGCGUGAGUGAAGAAGUAUUUCGGUAUGUAAAGCUCUAUCAGCAGGGAAGAUAAUGACGGUACCUGACUAAGAAGCCCCGGCUAACUACGUGCC
rnacentral:rRNA from 1 species